GAAUGGCUUAACCAUCUGGGAAUGCAGCCCAGUAGGUCUCAGCCUCAUUUUACCCAGCUCCUAUUUAAGAUGGAUUUGCUCUGGUUCACAUACCUCUGACAACAGGGGCAUCUGUGACCUCUGCUUUUCCUAAAGGGGGCUUUGUGAACUUCAGUAUUUAAAGGGGAAAGAGCAAGCAGGAGGGGGGAAAAGGGAAGAGGUGAGGCAGUGAAACCAAUGCUUACAUCUUGUGCAGCUCUGUCUAGCUUUAGUAAAUCUACAUUUCACAUGUGAAAAGAUGGAGUAGAGGAGAAUGUCAGCUAUGCAUUACCUCGAGCACAGUAAAUCUGCAUUCUACGGAUGAUAAAGCAAGCUUGUGAAAAGAGGGAGCAGAGAGAAUGAGGCUGUGAAGCCAGGUUGUGAAAUUACAGCUGUUUAGGAAAACAUUAUCAGUGACUCAGUUCCCAAGCUUAACUUUCCCUUCAGCAUAGUGAGUUUGGGUCCUGGGAUUCUACUUUUCUUUCACACAACACUACAGUCACGAGGGAGCUGUUGCCUUUUAGUUCUAGGCCUUUAGAGAGCACCAAGUGUGCAUUCUCUCACAUCUGAUCAUCGGAUCUGGGGAUUCUUGCAUUUUCCGGGUGGCUUCUCCCUCAAUUUUAUGCUUGGGCUUCGCCUCUAGUAGGCCUAUUUAUUAACCUAGUUGCCUCUCAGUGCAUUUAUGUGUGGUUAAAAUAUCCAAACAGCUCUCAGAUGCAGCCAGAAGCUUUCUGUCACUUCAAUAAUGCCAGGAUGCUGGGGAGCAGCCGGAGUAGUCUGGGAGACAGGAGGGCAAGGGUAACUCCUCCUGAGCUACAGAAGGCAAUGAUGCAGAACCAGCUGCAGGCAGGCUGCACGGGCUUUGCUGUCCUCCCCAAGCCAGGGGCCAGCCUUCUGGCCCCAUGAGUUUCCCGUGGGGAGGCUGCUCAGCCAUGUGAGGGCAGGGAACAAAAGCAGCAGCAUCUCCACGACAAGGGUAGGGUGCAGACAGACACCAUCAGGCUAGAGCUAGCUAGCUUUCAGGUGAAGGCGACUGGCUAAGAUUUAGAAAUGGAUGCACAAAGCUAAGAUUUACAAAUGGAUGUGCCAACACUCAUUGCCCUGAAGGCUGGCCCCGAUCUGGUGGUAGGGUUGCCUGGAGCUCCAGGCUGGGCAGGACCAUGAGAGUGCAUCCCAGGCCCAGGAUAAAAAGGCCACGAAGGUGCUUGAUGCAAUCCACAGGCACAGGAAGGCCAUGGCCGCUUGAGCGCAGUGCACUAGCCUUUUCAGCCUUGUAUUCUCAGGACUCCAGUGGAGCGUUGGUUUGAUGUCAGCAGGUGGUUCUGCUGAGUCCUAAACUUGCACCUGAAGCUCAGCACUGCCCUGCUGGAAAUCAGGACCAGACCAACAUGACCUAGAUGUUGCGGAACGAGCUCAGGCUCAGUAUUUCCAAACAGGAGAGAGACUAUCCAUCUUCACUUCUGGCAGGGGGCUGGUCCCUCCCAGUGAUUGGGGAUUUUCUGCUGCUGGAGAGAGGUCCACUCACCUCCCUCUGGAACUCCGAAGCUUCUGGAAGACUAUUUUGGUUUUUAUGUCUGUCACCCCUUCACAUAGAGCUGUGAUGACAGUGCUUAUCAAUCCUGUCCCCGCCACACCACCAACAUACACAGAAAAAAAGCAGGCAAUGAGUUGGCUCCGGGAUGACCUCGUAUGAAGACGUUUCAUUCCUUAGUCUUGGCAAUUGACAUCACAAACUUGGGUACAAGCUACAAAAUUAAGGUUGUCUAGGAACCACAUUUAAAACGUAAAAGAGAGGCAAGGUGCGGUGGCUCAUGCCUGUAAUCCCAGCACUUUGGGAGGCUGAAUUGAGAGGAUCCCUUGAGCCUAUGAAGCUGCAGUGAGCUGUGAUCGCACCACUGCGCUCCAGCCUGGACGACAGAGCGAGACUCUGUCUCAAGAAAAAAAGAAGAAGAAGAAGAAGAAGAAACAGGUAAAAUUAACUUUAGUCUAUUUUACUUAGCCAAUAUAUCUUAAAUAUUGCAUUUCAAUAUGUAUUCAAUAUAAAAAUUAUUUAUGACAUAUUUUGCGUUCUCUAUUUUGUAUUAAAAUUUUAAAAUCCGGUGUGGUUUUAAAGACACAGCUCAUCUGAAUUCAGACUAGCCACACUUCAAAUGCUCAGUAGCCACAUGUGGCUAAUGGCUAUCAUAAUGGACACUGCAACUCUAGAGAUUGAAGGUCUGUGUCUAUAUUUGUACAAGAUGGCACCUAAACACAAGCCAAUUUGUCAUCUGGUGCCUUUCUCCUUCUCCCUGGCUACACACCCCUCACUCCCAAUAAGAUCGUAUGACACCUGAGACUACAGCCCCAGAGAGAAACACUUGGGUUAAUAUUACUGAAUCAUAAAAACAGGAUAGCAGGAACUAUCAUCUUGGAGCAUGAGUCUUGGUAUUUCCAGUCUCAGUGAUUCUAGGCCACACAUAUAAAAGUCUCUUAUUGCCAUCUGGGAAGGCACACACACCAUAUGUUUUGGGCUUAGAUGAAUAAGGCUCAUAAUCCAAUCAUACAUUUUAAAGGACAUUUAUUUGUAAACAUGUUUAAUAUUCACAAAAUAUAUUUCAUCACUUCUAACUCUAUAGAACACUAUAAUAAGCAAACGGCACACACUAAAUGUUCAUUAUACAGCAAGCUAAAAAAAAUUACAACCCUGACCUGAUAGAGAUUAAAUCUAAUCUGAAACAGCCUCUAUCACUGGACAGAGUCACAAAAGGCCAUAUGAGCACAAGCACAGCUGUGCAAACACUGAAAAUGCAUAACUGGAGAGGAACUUGCAUCCCACGCAAGUUGAAAUAGCAGCCACAGAGAAGGGGAAGUGACUUGGAAAUGAAAGCAUUAUCCAUCUGGACCAAAUGGUGAAGCUGUGGGAAGCUGUCAUUUACAUUGGUGAGGAAGGCGUUCACUUCAGAGGGAGAAGAGUCUCCUUAGCUUAAAUUUUUGCUCAAAUAACCCAGCCCUACACAAUAUGGGGUUUUGGCAAUAGCUGUCGUAAAAAUGAAGCUUAAUACAUGAUUUGAGUGGAGGACUUCAAAGUUCUCAACUGUUGUAACCAUUAAGCUCAUCAAUUGACACAAAACUGGAUAUUCAGAAAAAUCCUGGUAAGAAUAGGGAUUUUGGGUUAAAGUAGUAUCAUAAUUAGAGUCCUUUAAGUUCUUAUUGUUUAAAAUCCUUCUAUAAUACAUUCGUCAACUUAUUUUCCUUAAUAUAAAAGGAACUGUCUCUAACUUACAGAUAGGUUAAAAUGUCCCAAAAGUGGAGAUUUUCUUCUUAAUUUGGUGGUUUGUAACUCAGGAUUUAUGUUCUCUAAACGUGUCUUGUUAACACAUAUCUAAUACUAUAGGGCACAAUACUGUAAUGUCAAUGAUAUAUAGUUGCCACAGUAAUAUCAAUUUUAAAGGAAAAGUACAUCCAAUAUGCCCCUUCUCCACACAUUUCCCCAGGCAGUGACAUCUAAAGAUGAACAAGAAAAAUAUACAAGUUUUACUUCUUGAUUUUUGACACCUAUAUAACAACAGGCAUCUUAUUGAUCCAAACACCCUCAGAGAGUGCUCAUGGGAAGUAGGGCUCUGGAAACUGCCUUCUUGAUUCUUGUUUAUAUGUAUGAGUUUAUGGUAACACUCAGAGCAAACAUUCUUUUUUUCUAGGAAAUGGGUUCGUCAUUUUUAGUUCAUCAUUUUUAGCUUUGUCACAUAUAGCAAUGCAGACAUAAAUAGGAGAUUGAACUGAAUAUCAUUUGAUUUUAGAACAGCUCUAGAAACUAAUUCUUUUUAGUUUCUAGUAAAAAAACUAUUUUCUUAUAAUUCUUUAUGACUUGAGCAGCAAAAAACAAAAACAAAAACAAAAACAAAACAAAACCAAAAAUAAGGGGGGGGGGCAGAUUUAUACUAGCUAUAUAAAGUGGCUUCCACUCUAUAAAGUUUUUGUUAAUUGAGAUAUUGCUGAUAAUUCCUAAGAAAAGAACUUAUCUACGCUAAAGGAAAAGGUAUUGUUUUGCUAACCUGUGGCAAUGAUACUGAGAUGAAAGAUUCUUUCCACUCACAUGCCUUGACUAAAUGCCCCAUUCUAGUUCACUAAGCAGACUGAAUGCCAGCCAGGAAUUCUGCCCGUAUCUUAUUAGGAUUCCGAAAGUACUUCUGAAGAAGUGGAAAUAGGAAGGUCCACAUGCCUUGGAAAGUUUUUAACUUUUCUGGAAUACAAAAUAUUUCUUACUCUAACCAAUUAAGUUAUUAAAUUCCACCAUAAUGUUAGCACUACCCUUUAGCAAUUUACUUCAGAGCAAGGAUUGUUUUCUUUCAGCUUAAAUUUUACCUACAUUACAUGGGUUCACUUUUAUAUUAUGCAUCUCCUUAGGAGUUCAACUCAACUGAACAAUUAUGUCCUGAGUGUCUAUUACGAGUACGACAUCCUACAAGGCAUUAAAAAAGUUUGAGGAAAAUCUGAAUAGAAGAAAAGGAAAUGGAGGUCUCCAGCAAAAUCUGCCAAGUGUUUUUAUAAAGUCCCAUCUGAACUUCUUUGGAGUAGACCAAGGUGCAGAAAUCCAUAUCCUCUCCCCACAUUGCAUCCCCUAAAGAGCUUCAAGCAUAGCUGGAAAGCCUUGAAACACAUCUAUUGGAGAGACUUGUCACACUGGACAAAGGCAAGAGCAACUUCUCAGAUGCUGCAAAUGAGGAACCUAUUUGCAAGCCACAGAGGUGGCUAAAACAUGGACACUAGCUUCUGUAGACACAGCUUCUAACACACCUUCAGUGCCUCACCCUCCUCACUAGGUAAAGUGGUGAGCGUUCAUUGAUGAGCUUCAUUUGAUACCCAAGAAAAUCAAGACCUUGAGUCACAUGCUCAAGGUUACACAGCAAAGCAGAGGCAGCUUGAAAACUGGAUUCAGGCCUUCUGAGCCCCUCUAGUAGACCGCACUGCUCCACAGAUGCAGGUAGCUUCUGAGAUCAAAACAUUCUGUUGGGUAAUGAUAACCAAAGUACAGCUCAUGUUUGUUUAUGUAAGGGCCCUGCUCAUUUCUGUGGGGAGAACUCAGCCAGGCCACAGAGCAGUCACAGGGCUUUCCAGACUGCAGAGCUGCCCCAGUGUGCAUGGCAGCUGGUUCCGCAGGAGUUCACCUGCCCACAGAGAUGUUCGGGGUCCUCCGCCUUCCCAUUGGUCUUGGUGUCUGCAUGACGGGCCACUGUGAUCAGACGUGGGGGCAGUAAGCAUGCUGAGCAACGUCUGGGUGUCCUGGGGCAGGGGCGGGGGGCAUUCUGUGGAGGUGACUGCAUCUGGAAAGGGCCCAAGUAGGGAGGGAAAUGGGAAAGGAUGUGCACAGGCAGUCACAGCUGGACUCCGCCUGGGCUUGCCAGGCUCCCUCCUCUGCCUUCUACUGCUACUCCCUACUUGCUUAACCUCUCCAACUUCCUACUAUGCAAUGUUUAAAAACCUGCUCAACAAAACAUCCUUCUUCCUGGAGAAUUUUCCUAACAAAGGGCCCCAUUCAGGCGGGGCUGCUUGGGAGGAAGGGAACUGUUGUCCAAAACCUGGCUCUUGCCACUUUCCACCCUGGCCACAAACAAGACUUUUUUUCACAGCUCUUAAUCUCAGUUUCCUCCCUGGGCAAGCUCCUCACGCAGACACCAAGACCCACUGAGGCAGAAGGGCCUGAACAUUCUAUUAGGGCAGGUGAGCUCCUGCAGAACCAGCUGCCAGGCACACUCCAAUAGAUCUGCUGCCCAGAAAGUCCCAUGGCCACUGUGGCCUGGCUGUGCUCUCCCUGCAGAAAUGAGCAUGGCAUUUACAUGAAAGAUGAAGUAGGAUACUUGAUUUCACUACUCUGAAAUUUUCUUUCCAGUCUGAUCUGCUCUCUUGAACUUCAGAGUCAUGCAUCUCACAGCCUACUUGGCACCUCCACAUGGAUAAAGAUGCAUCUCAACUCACCAUGUCCAAAGCACGUGCCCCCAACUACAAGCAAAUCCCUCAACACACUCCCUGCCCCUCCCACAGAUCUUCCUCACCUGUCAGUGCCUCUGUCCACAAUGCUCCCCUAGACUGCCGCAAGGACUGCACCUCAGCUGCUGGAGUCCUUCCGCAAUGUCACCACCUCAGUGAGGCUUCCCACCAAUCUAUUUACAAUUGCAGUUUCUCCCCAGCACUUCCUACCCACUGCCCUGCUUUCUCUUCCUUCACAGCACUGACGAUCAUCUGACAUUUUGUAUACUUUACUUGUUUGGUUCACUGUCAUUCUCUCCCAAGGUAGGAGUUGGAGAUCCCAC
rnacentral:lncRNA from 1 species